GACGAACCGUCCAAACGUUGUUCGGAAUCACUGGGCUUAAAGCGCGCGUAGGCGGCUUUGCAAGUCGGGUGUGAAAUCCCCAGGCUUAACCUGGGAACUGCAUUCGAGACUGCAUUGCUAGAGUAUGGGAGAGGGAAGUGGAAUUUCCGGUGUAGCGGUGAAAUGCGUAAAUAUCGGAAGGAACAUCAGUGGCGAAAGCGACUUCCUGGACCAAUACUGACGAUCAGGUGCGAAAGCGUGGGGAGCAAACAGG
rnacentral:rRNA from 1 species